UACGGGGGGGGCAAGCGUUGUUCGGAAUUACUGGGCGUAAAGGGCUCGUAGGCGGCCAACUAAGUCAUACGUGAAAUCCCUCGGCUUAAUCGGGGAACUGCGUCUGAUACUGGAUGGCUUGAGUUUGGGAGAGGGAUGCGGAAUUCCUGGUGUAGCGGUGAAAUGCGUAGAUAUGUGGAGGAACACCGAUGGCGAAGGCAGCCCCCUGGGUCAAGAUUGACGCUCAUGCACGAAAGCGUGGGGAGCAA
rnacentral:rRNA from 1 species